rnacentral:rRNA from 1 species
GACGAACGCUGGCGGCGUGCUUAACACAUGCAAGUCGAACGGAAAGGCCCUGCUUUUGUGGGGUGCUCGAGUGGCGAACGGGUGAGUAACACGUGAGUAACCUGCCCUUGACUUUGGGAUAACUUCAGGUAACUGGGGCUAAUACCGGAUAGGAGCUCCUGCUGCAUGGUGGGGGUUGGAAAGUUUCGGCGGUAGGGGAUGGACUCGCGGCUUAUCAGCUUGUUGGUGGGGUAGUGGCUUACCAAGGCUUUGACGGGUAGCCGGCAUGAGAGGGUGACCGGCCACAUGGGGACUGAGAUACGGCCCAGACUCCUACGGGAGACAGCAGUGGGGAGUAUUGCACAAUGGGCGCAAGCCUGAUGCAGCAACGCCGCGUGCGGGAUGACGGCCUUCUGGUUGAAAACCGCUUUCGCCUGUGACGAAGCGUGAGUGACGGUAAUGAAUGAAGAAGCACCGGCUAACUACGUG